rnacentral:piRNA from 1 species
GGGAUCUUCCAUGUAGAACAUCAC